GACAGAGGGUGCAAACGUUGCUCGGAAUCACUGGGCGUAAAGGGCGUGUAGGGGGGAAGGAAAGUCGGAUGUGAAAUCCCUGGGCUCAACCCAGGAACUGCAUUUGAAACUCCCUUUCUUGAGUGUCGGAGAGGAGAGCGGAAUUCCUGGUGUAGCGGUGAAAUGCGCAGAUAUCAGGAGGAACACCGGUGGCGAAGGCGGAUCUCUGGGCCGAUACUGACGCUGAGGAGCGAAAGCGUGGGGAGCGAACAGG
rnacentral:rRNA from 1 species